AGCUAUUGGCCACUCAGCUUUUUAUUAACCCGUCCCAGCAGUAUACCUUCACACAGUGUACAAAUGUCCCACAACACACAGGGCUGUCAGAAGUAAAGAAUUUAGGCUGGGUAUGGUGGUAUAGGCCUGUGUUCCCAAACUGCUCUGGAGGCUGAGCAGAAGAAUGACAAAUUCAAGACCAGUUGGGCAACUUAGAUCCUGUGUAAAAAUAAAAUCUUAAAGGGCCAUCAGCAGAGCACUUAACUAUUAUGUACAGGGCCAUGUGUUAAUUUCCCAGUACUUGAGAGUCGGGUGAGGGUAACAGCUUACACUUUACAACUGCAGAAAGGCUCAUAAACUGGAGGUACCACAUCAGUGGAAGGGUAUAGAAGGGAAGACCAGGGUUUGAUUGAAAGUCUGUACUUAGGUUUCUGGUUUCAAGACAGCCCCAGUUCUGUGAGAAAGAAGGUACAUUUGGUGGGGAUUUAAAUUAGAAGACCCGGGUUUUACAACGGAAACAAAAGCUGAUCAGAUGGAAGUCGGAUACUGACUGGUGAAACCAACCCUUCUCCUGCUUAUUACUCUUAGGAACACUCAAUAACCACCCAGAGCACAGCCAGAGAAGAAUUUCCUCUACACAGAGGCCUCAGAUUCCACACCUCAAGGUGUGUCUGAUAGGAAGAACAUAGUACCUGUGGUCUGGUCCUCAGGCAUCAGUGAGGGAGGCAAACAGAUCCCUGCCCCCAGAUAGGUGGCGACCAGGAGUGCCAGCAGUGGAGACUUGUCCAGACUGUCCCCGGCAGUGAUGCUUAUUACAGAGAUGCCGCAGCAUUCAGGCUUGAGCACAGCAUGGCAGAUUCCCACCUCAGUACACAGAGCUGUCUCCAAGCUGCACAGCAUGCUGCAUGGUGAAUUUAGCUUUUACUCAUACAGACAAAAAAGGUUUGUGGGCCAGCUGCACACUGCCUGGUGGCAGCAUGGACCGCAGAGUUGGUGGAGUAAGCCUGACUCUCUUGGUUACCUCUGCCAUGUUGGGAAGCCAAAAGGGGCAGAGUCAGCAGCCAAGGCUGCCAUGUUGGU